rnacentral:rRNA from 1 species
UACGGAGGGUGCGAGCGUUGUCCGGAAUCAUUGGGCGUAAAGGGCGCGUAGGUGGCCCGGUGAGUCUUUGGUGAAAGCGCGGGGCUCAACCCUGCGUCGGCCAGGGAUACUGCCGCGGCUCGAGCACUGUAGAGGCAGGCGGAAUUCCGGGUGUAGCGGUGGAAUGCGUAGAGAUCCGGAAGAACACCGGUGGCGAAGGCGGCCUGCUGGGCAGUGGCUGACGCUGAGGCGCGACAGCGUGGGGAGCAAACAGGG